rnacentral:rRNA from 1 species
UACGUAGGGGGCUAGCGUUGUCCGGAAUCAUUGGGCGUAAAGCGCGCGUAGGCGGCCCGGUAAGUCCGCUGUGAAAGUCCAGGGCUCAACCCUGGAAAGCCGGUGGAUACUGCCGGGCUAGAGUCCGGAAGAGGCGAGUGGAAUUCCUGGUGUAGCGGUGGAAUGCGCAGAUAUCAGGAGGAACACCUAUGGCGAAGGCAGCUCUCUGGGACGGUACUGACGCUGAGACGCGAAAGCGUGGGGAGCGAACAGG